rfam:Brachypodium distachyon strain Bd21 chromosome 1, whole genome shotgun sequence.
AGCUGCGUGGUGAGCACAAAGCGAGCUAUUCUUUCGCCUUUUACUAAACAAUACCGUGUGCACGCCACAAAAAGCAGCAUACGCUAAUUUUUUGUAGGGUGUCUUCUUUUUAAGAAGG